rnacentral:misc_RNA from 1 species
UUUUAAAUUAUAGAACACAUUUUUGGGUUUACAAUAAAGAAUACUUGUAUUAUAUAACAGUAAUAUUUAUAAAUCACAAGAUGGACAUAAGCUAAAAAUAUCUAUAGAAUUAUGUUAUAUAUAAAAUUCUCCUGUCACAAUGUUAGUUACCAUACUACUCCGAAACGGCUGGUUCGAUUUUUUAUGAAAUUUUGUGUGCAUAUCAGGUAGGUCUGAGAAUCAGCCAAUAUCUAUCUUUCAUACCCCUAUGUUAUAA